UACAGAGGCCUCGAGCGUUUAGGCGGAAUCACUGGGCUUAAAGCGUGUGUAGGCGGACUUCUAAGUACCUUGUGAAAUCCCACGGCUUACCCGUGGAACUGCUGGGUAUACUGGUUGUCUUGAGCUUUCUAGGGGCGAGUGGAACAAAUGGUGGAGCGGUGAAAUGCGUAGAUAUCAUUUGGAACGCCAAUGGUGAAAACAACUCGCUGGGGAAAUGCUGACGCUGAGACACGAAAGCCAGGGGAGCGAAUGGG
rnacentral:rRNA from 1 species